rnacentral:rRNA from 1 species
AACUAACGCUGGCGGCGUGCCUAACACAUGCAAGUCGUACGAGAAAGUUGGCUUCGGCCGAUGAGUAAAGUGGCGCACGGGUGAGUAAUGCGUGGAUAAUCUGCCCUUUAGUUGGGAAUAACGUACCGAAAGGUGCGCUAAUACCUGAUAAUACUGCAUAACUACUGUUGUGUAGUCAAAGAAGGCCUCUGUUUACAAGCUUUUGCUGAAGGAUGAGUCCGCGUACCAUUAGCUAGUUGGUGAGGUAAAGGCUCACCAAGGCGACGAUCUGUAGCGGGUCUGAGAGGAUGAUCCGCCACACUGGAACUGAGACACGGUCCAGACUCCUACGGGAGGCAGCAGUGGGGAAUUUUGGACAAUGGGGGCAACCCUGAUCCAGCCAUGCCGCGUGAGUGAAGAAGGCCUCGGUUGUAAGACUCUUCGUCCGGGAAAAUACGCAUCAGUUAAUACCUGGUGUGGAGUGAUGGUACCGGAAUAAGAAGCACCGGCUAACUA